rnacentral:rRNA from 1 species
GACGGAGGAGGCAAGCGUUAUCCGGACUUAUUGGGCGUAAAGGGUACGUAGGCGGCUGGUCAAGUCUGGGGUCAAAGGCCACAGCUCAACUGUGGAAAGGCCCUGGAAACUGACCGGCUAGAGUGAGGUAGGGGUUGCGGGAAUUCCCGGUGUAGCGGUGAAAUGCGUAGAGAUCGGGAAGAACACCUGAGGCGGAAGCGCGCAACUGGGCCUCAACUGACGCUGAGGUACGAAAGCUAGGGGAGCGAAGGGG